rnacentral:rRNA from 1 species
GAUGAACGCUGGCGGCGUGCCUAAUACAUGCAAGUCGAGCGAACGGACGAGAAGCUUGCUUCUCUGAUGUUAGCGGCGGAAGGGUGAGUAACACGUGGAUAACCUACCUAUAAGACUGGGAGAACUUCGGGAAACCGGAGCUAAUACCGGAUAAUAUUUUGAACCGCAUGGUUCAAAAGUGAAAGACGGUCUUGCUGGCAGUUAUAGAUGGAGCCGCGCUGCAUUAGUUAGUUGGUAAGGUAACGGCUUACCAAGGCAACGAUGCAUAGCCGACCUGAGAGGGUGAUCGGCCACACUGGAACUGAGACACGGUCCAUACUCCUACGGGAGGCAGCAGUAGGGAAUCUUCCGCAAUGGGCGAAAGCCUGACGGAGCAACGCCGCGUGAGUGAUGAAGGUCUUCGGAUCGUAAAACUCUGUUAUUAGGGAAGAACAUAUGUGUAAGUAACUGUGCACAUCUUGACGGUACCUAAUCAGAAAGCCACGGCUAACUACGUG